rnacentral:snRNA from 1 species
GGGUGUGAGUUCGAUUUGGCUACCCUGCUGAUCGCCAUGGUGGCUUUAGCUGAUCUGGCUGGCGGGGCGGGCGUCCCCGUCCUCACAGGCCACGUGCGUCCCUCCUGAAGCCACACGCUCAGUCAGAGAGGACCUUUUCCUUGGUCAAGGGCAUAGGAGUAGCUGUGCUCCCCUGCCAGAACCCCCGAACAAGCCCUCAGUGGGAAUGCCCACGGAUUUCUCCUUUGAGAAUUACAGCCACGGCCAAAACCUUUUAAUUUCUAAUUUUGUCUCU